rnacentral:rRNA from 1 species
CCUACGGGAGGCAGCAGUGAGGAAUAUUGGUCAAUGGGCGGGAGCCUGAACCAGCCAAGCCGCGUGAAGGAAGAAGGCGCCAAGCGUCGUAAACUUCUUUUGUCGGGGAACAAAGGGCGACACGUGUGGCGUUGUGAGUGUACCCGAAGAAAAAGCAUCGGCUAACUCCGUGCCAGCAGCCGAGGUAAGACGGGGGAUGCGCGCGUUAUCCGGAUGGAUUGGGGUGAAAGGGUGCGUAGGCGGUCCGGAAAGUCAGCGGUAAAAGCCCGGGGCUCAACCCCGGCGAGCCGUUGAAACUGUCGGACUAGAGCCGGCGAGACGUCCGCGGAAUUCCCGUUGUAGCGGUGAAAUGCAUAGAUAUCUCGCAGAACUCCGAUUGCGAAGGCAGCGUACCGGCGCCGGACUGACGCUGAGGCACGAAAGCGUGGGUAUCGAACAGGAUUAGAUACCCCUGUAGUC